CAGAAAUAAAUAACUUAUAGCACAUUCCAUAGUAUGAAAAAAGGUUUUCUCUGUGGGAAGUGGCAAACCUGGAAGGAAGAUGGUUAAAGAAGCGAGGUGCGAUGAAGUCGUCUGCCUGGAUGGUCACGUCACUGGGGUUGAUGGUGCGAGACACGUCCAGGUGCUGCAUACUGAGGAACUUCUGAAGAGUCUUCACUUCCCCUUCAUACGAACUGUCGG